rnacentral:rRNA from 1 species
ACCACACGAAGCUGGAAUCGCUAGUAAUCGCGGAUCAGAAUGCCGCGGUGAAUACGUUCCCGGGUCUUGUACACACCGCCCGUCACACCAUGGGAGUCAGCAACGCCCGAAGUCAGUGACCCAACCUUUAUAGGAGGGAGCUGCCGAAGGCGGGGCAGGUGACUGGGGUGAAGUCGUAACAAGGUAUC